GUAGUGGUGGUCCAGUGAUAGAAUUCUCACCUUUCAUGCGGGAGACCCGGGUUCUAUUCCUGGUCAAUGCA
rnacentral:tRNA from 1 species